CGGACGGGUGAGUAACACGUGGAUAACCUACCUAUAAGACUGGGAUAACUUCGGGAAACCGGAGCUAAUACCGGAUAAUAUAUUGAACCGCAUGGUUCAAUGGUGAAAGACGGUUUUGCUGUCACUUAUAGAUGGAUCCGCGCCGCAUUAGCUAGUUGGUAAGGUAACGGCUUACCAAGGCAACGAUGCGUAGCCGACCUGAGAGGGUGAUCGGCCACACUGGAACUGAGACACGGUCCAGACUCCUACGAGGCAGCAGAA
rnacentral:rRNA from 1 species